rnacentral:snRNA from 1 species
GUGCUCACUUCAGCAGCACAUAUACUAAAAUUGGAACGAUACACAGAAGAUUAGCAUGGCCCCUGUGCAAGGAUGAUAAUGCAAAUUCGUGAAGCAUUCCAUAUUUUU